UACGUAGGUGGCAAGCGUUGUCCGGAAUUACUGGGUGUAAAGGGAGCGCAGGCGGGAAGCCAAGUCAGCUGUGAAAAUUACGGGCUUAACUUGUAGACUGCAGUUGAAACUGGUUUUCUUGAGUGAAGUAGAGGUUGGCGGAAUUCCGAGUGUAGCGGUGAAAUGCGUAGAUAUUCGGAGGAACACCGGUGGCGAAGGCGGCCAACUGGGCUUUAACUGACGCUGAGGCUCGAAAGUGUGGGGAGCAAACAGG
rnacentral:rRNA from 1 species